UCUCAGUUCAGAUUGCAGGCUGCAACCCGCCUGCAUGAAGUCGGAAUUGCUAGUAAUCGCGGAUCAGCAUGCCGCGGUGAAUACGUUCCCGGGCCUUGUACACACCGCCCGUCACACCAUGGGAGCCGGUAAUACCCGAAGUCAGUAGUCCAACCUCGUGAGGACGCUGCCGAAGGUAGGAUUGGCGACUGGGGUGAAGUCGUAACAAGGUAUC
rnacentral:rRNA from 1 species